rnacentral:rRNA from 1 species
UACGUAGGGUGCAAGCGUUGUCCGGAAUUAUUGGGCGUAAAGGGCUCGUAGGCGGUUCGUCACGUCGGGAGUGAAAACUCGGAAGCUUACUCCCGAGCCUGCUUCCGAUACGGGCAGACUAGAGGUAGGCAGGGGAGGAGCGGAACUCCUGGUGUAGCGGUGGAAUGCGCAGAUAUCAGGAGGAACACCCCGUAGCGAAGGCGGCACUCGUGGGCCGAUUCUGACACUGAGGAGCGAAAGCGUGGGGAGCGAACAGG